AUCCUUUUGUGGUUCAUAAGCUUGAUGAUUGGGUUUCCACAUUUUUGUGAGAUGGGCCUCCCUCAAACCUUGUUAUGAUGUCAGCACAUUACCCUUGAUG
ensembl:snoRNA